CCGGCGCACGGGUGAGUAACACGUAUGGAACCUGCCCUAUGCAGGGGGAUAAGCGGAAGAAUUCCGUCUAAUACCGCAUAACACCUUUAGGAGACAUCUUCUUGGGGGUCAAAGGAGGCGACUCCGGCAUAGGAUGGCCAUGCGUCGCAUUAGCUAGUCGGCGGGGUAACGGCCCACCGAGGCGACGAUGCGUAGGGGUUCUGAGAGGAAGGUCCCCCACACUGGUACUGAGACACGGACCAGACUCCUACGGAAGGCAGCAG
rnacentral:rRNA from 1 species